rnacentral:tRNA from 1 species
GGAGAGGUGGCCGAGCGGUUGAAGGCGCUCGCCUGGAAAGCGGGUAAACUGUAACAGGUUUCGUGAGUUCGAAUCUCAUCCUCUCCGCCA